UGUGCCAGCAGCCGCGGUAAUACGUAGGGUGCAAGCGUUGUCCGGAAUUAUUGGGCGUAAAGAGCUCGUAGGCGGUGUGUCACGUCUGCCGUGAAAACCUGCGGCUUAACCGUGGGCGUGCGGUGGAUACGGGCAUCACUUGAGUUCGGUAGGGGAGACUGGAAUUCCUGGUGUAGCGGUGGAAUGCGCAGAUAUCAGGAGGAACACCGGUGGCGAAGGCGGGUCUCUGGGCCGAUACUGACGCUGAGGAGCGAAAGCGUGGGGAGCGAACAGGAUUAGAUACCCUGGUAGUCCACGCCGUAAACGUUGGGCGCUAGGUGUGGGGCGCUGUUCACGUGUCCCGUGCCGUAGCUAACGCAUUAAGCGCCCCGCCUGGGGAGUACGGCCG
rnacentral:rRNA from 1 species